rnacentral:rRNA from 1 species
CUUUCUUUGCUGGCGACCGGCGCACGGGUGAGUAACACGUAUCCAACCUGCCGAUAACUCCGGAAUAGCCUUUCGAAAGAAAGAUUAAUACCGGAUGGCAUACGAAUAUCGCAUGAUAUUUUUAUUAAAGAAUUUCGGUUAUCGAUGGGGAUGCGUUCCAUUAGUUUGUUGGCGGGGUAACGGCCCACCAAGACUACGAUGGAUAGGGGUUCUGAGAGGAAGGUCCCCCACAUUGGAACUGAGACACGGUCCAA